UGAAGCUUUAGUCACUGCUAGGAAUAGAUGGCUGGAUGGAACCUUGGACUGCAUGCAGCCUUUGUGCCAAUCCUGGGGCAUCUCUUGGUUACUGAGGAGCUUUGGGCAAUGAAGCACAGGAACAGAUGUCUGGAGCGCCACAGGAGUAAGACGUGGGGCAAAGCUGAUCAAAGCCAGAAGCUUGUCCUUGGAUUUUGUGAAGUCAUACAGAGGAUUAUCAAUCAUCUCUGGUUUUGAAAAUGCUUCAUCUUGCAGCAAUGGUUCUAUCAUGCUUUUCCUCACCUCACUGUACCUGUCAAGGAUAAGAGGCGAAACUUGUCAGAAAAGCCAGAAUGACUUUAAGAUGGACUGAGAAUGGGACAGCGGUGUGGGGCGAACCAGAAAUCAUUUUUAAAACAGCUGACCGUAUGGCAGAAAUAAUUGUCAUGGUAUGGCAUGGAUGGCAGGUGAGAGAAAUUUUUUAUCGAAAGUGUCUGACUGGGUGAUGUAGAUAAAGCAGAAACCUUGGCCCACAUCUUUUUGUACAGACACCCAUAACCUAGGAUGGCCCCUCAUUAUGAUGUAAACAAUUCAAGGUGCCCCAGAUAAUUUUUAUGGAAGCAAAUUACUUGCAGAUUAAGACUUUAGAAUUACAUGACAAGUAGCAACAAUUCUGUUCGAUAGGUUAAUAAGUUUGGUACCGUCUCAUGGAAGAGAAGAAAGCAUACAAAGAUACACAUCAGCACUCUUUCCCUAUAAUAAGAGAAUACUGUUGUAUUUUAUAUUGAUUUUAUAUGUUUAUGUAACCUGUAUGUAUUUUCUCUUUUAUUGAGGACUAUCUGAAGGACUAUAAUGAAUCUGAUACUGGUCUGAGAUGGGAAUAAAAUUCACUGGUUGAUCUACAUAAUUGAUUGUAUAGAAUUAAAUCAAUUAUUAUGCCAAAACACAUGGCUUCUUAUGUGUUCCUCUCACAACAGUUCUACAGAUGUUCCAGGACAUGUUAAUUUGAAGAUCUAAUGUGGAAACUGGCGAACACAAAGGUUUGGUCAAUUUAUGAAUAGGAAAGGGCCUUUUAGAAGGUUCACCUAAUAUGGAAGAAAAGUAGGCUAAAAUAGGUCACAAAUGCACACAAAAGCGAGAGAUCUGUGACUAGAGUCAACUUUUUGCAUAAUAUAUAACUGAGGUUUGUACCUUGUCCCUGGGAGAAGUUCCACAUGGACGUCUUUUGAAUAGAAACUGUAUAGGAUUGUGUUCUCUCUCUCUCUCUCUCUCUCUCUCUCUCUCUCCCUCCCUCCCUCCCUCCCCCCCUCUCCCUCAUUCUCUCUUCCUCUUCCUCUUUCUCUGUGUGUAUAUGCUUGUACAAACAUGUAUAAACAUGUUCAGAUGUUUAUAUUAAAUCUUUCACUUUCAUCUCUUGAUCUAUG